GGUUGAGUGGUCUAGCGGUUAUGAUUUCUGUCUAACAGUAUAACACAGAAGGUUCUGAGUUCAACCCUCAGCUCAAUCA